rnacentral:misc_RNA from 1 species
GAAAUGCGAUAAGUAAUGUGAAUUGCAGAAUUCCGUGAUUCAUCGAAUCUUUGAACGCACAUUGCGCCCUCUGGCAUUCCGGGGGGCAUGCCUGUCCGAGCGUCAUUACGCACCCUCAAGCCCGGCUUGUGUGAUGGGCCCCGGCGUCUCGUUCGCGAGACGGGCCCGAAAGGCAGCGGCGGCGUCGACCCGAUGAGCCCGAGCGUAUGGGGACUUCUGUCACACGUUCGCGGUGCGGACCGGCGCCUGCUUGACUUUUCUGAUUAUCCAGGUUGACCUCGGAUCAGGUAGGGAUACCCGCUGAACUUAAGC